UAAAAAAAGGUCGUACAAAAGGUAGCUGUAGGUGAACCUGCAGCUGGAUCAUUUUCUGAUAUCCAUUAUACAAAAAAGAGCAUAUUUAUGUGCAUGUAUAAAUUGCACAGUAUGCAACCAAAAAUAUACAUAUAUGUUUUACAUGUAUGUGUUUCUAUAUGCCGUUUGACAUGGGAGAUGAGGGAUGCUAUACAUAGUUCUGUUAUUUUCUAUCAUGUAUGUGUGUUAGAGUGUCUGUGUUAAUAUACUUUUUAAUGCAUGCUCUACAUAAUAUACAAUAGUAAUAACACUGAAAAUACGUAUGGAAUGCGUAUCUCUCUAUAUAUAUUUAUGUAUAUAUGCUAUGUGUAUAUCACCACCUCAUAUAUUCUCUCCGUGGUCACCACCUCCCCCACCGUGUCUCGAUAUGUGUCUCCUCUUCUCAUAUCUCUGAGAAAAACACCGAAA
rnacentral:rRNA from 1 species